rnacentral:tRNA from 7 species
AAAUCCGUCGACUUUAGAAAUCGUGAGGG